CCAAGGAGUCUAACAUGUGCGCGAGUCAUUGGGACUUGUUAAGCCUAAAGGCGCAAUGAAAGUGAAGGUCGUCCUUAGCGUCGACCGAGGGAGGAUGGUUCGCGUCACGAUGCGAGCUCGCACUCCCGGGGCGUCUCGUGCUCAUCUCGAGCAGAGGCGCACCUAGAGCGUACACGUUGGGACCCGAAAGAUGGUGAACUAUGCCUGGUCAGGACGAAGUCAGGGGAAACCCUGAUGGAGGUCCGUAGCGAUUCUGACGUGCAAAUCGAUCGUCGGAACUGGGUAUAGGGGCGAAAGACUAAUCGAACCAUC
rnacentral:rRNA from 1 species